UCUUAACACAUGCAAGUCGAACGGUAACAGCGGGAGCUUGCUCCCGGCUGACGAGUGGCGGACGGGUGAGUAACGCGUAGGAAUCUACCUAAUAGUGGGGGACAACCCGGGGAAACUCGGGCUAAUACCGCAUACGCUCUUAGGAGGAAAGCGGGGGAUCUUCGGACCUCGCGCUAUUAGAGGAGCCUGCGUCGGAUUAGCUAGUUGGUGAGGUAAAGGCUCACCAAGGCGGCGAUCCGUAGCUGGUCUGAGAGGACGACCAGCCACACUGGAACUGAGACACGGUCCAGACUCCUACGGGAGGCAGCAGUGGGGAAUCUUGGGCAAUGGGCGCAAGCCUGACCCAGCCAUGCCGCGUGUGUGAAGAAGGCCUUCGGGUUGUAAAGCACUUUCAGUGGUGAAGAAAAUCUCAGGUCUAAUACACCUGAGCCUUGACGUUAACCACAGAAGAAGCACCGGCUAACUCCGUGCCAGCAGCCGCGGUAAU
rnacentral:rRNA from 1 species